UUUAUAAAAAUCCCCAAACAUGCCUCCACGAACAACUGUGACGUAAAAUCUGCAAUUUAGGUCACAGUUGUUCGCGGAGGCAUGUUUGGGGAUUUUUACAAA
rnacentral:pre_miRNA from 1 species